rnacentral:rRNA from 1 species
CAUUACCGAGUUUACAACUCCCAAACCCAAUGUGAACGUUACCAAACUGUUGCCUCGGCGGGAUCUCUGCCCCGGGUGCGUCGCAGCCCCGGACCAAGGCGCCCGCCGGAGGACCAACCAAAACUCUUAUUGUAUACCCCCUCGCGGGUUUUUUAUAAUCUGAGCCUUCUCGGCGCCCCUCGUGGGCGUUUCGAAAAUGAAUCAAAACUUUCAACAACGGAUCUCUUGGUUCUGGCAUCGAUGAAGAACGCAGCGAAAUGCGAUAAGUAAUGUGAAUUGCAGAAUUCAGUGAAUCAUCGAAUCUUUGAACGCACAUUGCGCCCGCCAGUAUUCUGGCGGGCAUGCCUGUCCGAGCGUCAUUUCAACCCUCGAACCCCUCCGGGGGGUCGGCGUUGGGGAUCGGCCCUCCCUCUGCGGGGGCCGUCUCCGAAAUCCAGUGGCGGUCUCGCCGCAGCCUCUCCUGCGCAGUAGUUUGCACACUCGCACCGGGAGCGCGGCGCGUCCACAGCCGUUAAACACCCAACUUUCUGAAAUG